rnacentral:rRNA from 1 species
GUGGGGAAUUUUGGACAAUGGGCGCAAGCCUGAUCCAGCAAUGCCGCGUGCAGGAAGAAGGCCUUCGGGUUGUAAACUGCUUUUGUACGGAACGAAACGGUCCGGGCUAAUACCCUGGGCUAAUGACGGUACCGUAAGAAUAAGCACCGGCUAACUACGUGCCAGCAGCCGCGGUAAUACGUAGGGUGCAAGCGUUAAUCGGAAUUACUGGGCGUAAAGCGUGCGCAGGCGGUUUUGUAAGACAGGCGUGAAAUCCCCGGGCUCAACCUGGGAAUUGCGCUUGUGACUGCAAGGCUGGAGUGCGGCAGAGGGGGAUGGAAUUCCGCGUGUAGCAGUGAAAUGCGUAGAUAUGCGGAGGAACACCGAUGGCGAAGGCAAUCCCCUGGGCCUGCACUGACGCUCAUGCACGAAAGCGUGGGGAGCAAACAGGAUUAGAUACCCUUGUAGUCC